rnacentral:hammerhead_ribozyme from 1 species
UCUCAGCUGACGAGUCCCAAACAGGACGAGCCGAGCCCUGAAU